GGGGCCCCUGACCUGAGCCCCCUGUCACGCCGGACGGCCCUCCGUGUCACACCGAGGCCUGUCCCGCUCCCUCGUUGGUCCCUUCCAAAUUAGCCAUGAGUUGUUCUUUGGGCCCCCGGGAAAGAGACCAGGACCCCACCUCAGCGCGCCGGUGGCCCUCCCUGUCACAGCCCCCAGCAGUGCUGAGGUGAGGGGGCAUGGGAACACGUUCACGUUCUCUGAUAUUAAAUAGCCCAGAAGGUAGAAUCGCCUUUUUUUUUAACCAUUUUAUUUAGACAGACAUUUUUCUAAGUGUACUACGUGAAGGAUUUCAGUCCCGUUCCUCUUGAUCAGGUCUCAGAAAGCAACUUGAAAUGUGAGCAUGAGAAGAAUUACCAAAGAGAGAAUCGCUCGGGGGGUGUUGAACCUGAGAGCUUGAGCAGACAGUGUGUGGAACCCAACGGAACGGCUGAUUCCCUUCUGCUCAGCUCCGUGCGCAGGAGGAGGGAAUCUCAAGGUGCAGAAACGUGCUAAAAGGAGGCGAAUCGUAAAACCUUCAAAUCAGUGCCCAAAAUGCACUCUGCAGGGCACGCUACAAAGUGCCUCCCUGCAGCACUACGGCAGCUUUGUGCCCUAGGCGAGCUCUAAAGGAGCACUGAGGGCCUGAAGCACUGCUGGGCUUUAUAGCUCUGUGCAGGCAGAAGUUUCUUAAUUGCUGGCUAAUGAUGCGGUGUGGGCACUGCCUUUUGCCCAGUGGUUAUGAAUUACUUUGUGCAGAUACACAAAACCCACAUCAAACAGAAAGCACAGGCAGGUCAUUCCAGUCUGACUGAGGGAGAGAAGGAGCGAGGCUAGCACAGAAAGGAGGGCAGAAAUAAACCAUAGCAAGGUUAGAAAUCCUAGAAUGGACAGUGACCUUAAAAGUGUGCUUCCUCCUGCUGCCUUUCAGCGCAGCUCCUGUCAUACUGAUUGAAACUAUCAGAGGUGUUCUUUCUCCCUACAGAUAAAAAAGGCGGCAGCUUCUCACUGGAACCACCAAGGAAUUUUGAUCCUGUAAGAAAUGCACUAUAAAAUGGGCCUGAGAGGGCUGUCUGAGUGGGGGAAAGUGCAAUUGGAUGUUACGUUUGCUUUUGUUGUGAUUGAUGUGACUCUGUCCGAUUUAUUUUCAAAUAUCAGAAUGGGUUCUGGAUGGAACUCUUGCAACCAAAACCUGUGAUCCAUUUGCCAAGAGCUGUUUUUACUCCAGUUGAGAACCGAUUUGUCUGGAUUUUGCCUUAGGCACAGUCCUUACCAUCUUCUGCCAGAGAUUUUUUCCCCCUGCAGACUUAAUCCAGGAUCCAGAUACAUGAUUGUUUAAAAUUUACAUUUAAAAAGGAGUAAAAGAUUGAUUGGAAUUCCAGGGGAGGAGAAGGAGGCAUGAUGAUAUAUUGGAAUCUUUUGUUCCCAGAAGAACCAGGAAAGAAUUAAGAUUAUUAAAGAAACGUAAUUUGGGUCAGACCAAGCAUCUAAAUCCACAUCAGUUAAAAAGAUGAUUUUCCCUACAUUUUUAAUGUGUUUGACACAAGCGUGUUUGAUUUAUGAUGGGAGUCAAAACCAUCUGUAUUUGGGGAACAAGCACAUACUUAUUUAAACAAUGGGGCUGCCUGGGGGGAGGCAUAGGAAAGAAAUGACAUUCUUUUGCAAAGAAUUCGGUGUUUUUCACUCCAUGAAGUAACUGGCACUGGUUUGAAAAGUGCUCUGCAGCAGGAACAGUAGCUCAACCUAUCUUAAAGGAGUCCAGCAGUUUACCUUUAUGCAAUUGGUAUGAUAGUGAACAAGGUUAUCACUGAUAAAGCUCUGCUAUUCCCUACUUUCCUUUCAGUGACCCCUGUGAAGAGAAUUGGUCUCAUUGGGCACCACUGAAAAGAGCCUGGCCCCAUUCAUUGGACUCCCUCCCUUCAGAUAUUAGGGACUUGUUCUAACUGCAGAUGAGGCUGAAGCAAAGGAACCGUUUCCUGAACAUGUCCUCAGCUCUCAUCUUGUGCUGAAAUAGUUUAUUUGAAGUUUUUCAGGGAAGAAGUGUUGAGGGCUAUCAGGAUGACAUCUACAGCGUUAAGUUUUAGCCUGUGCUGGGUGGAGAUUCCAUUCUGUAACCAGAUGCUGUGCUCCAUAUGGAUUGAUAUGAUUAGAAACAGGCUUGGAAAUAACAUUUAACUUUACCAGUCAGCUUCCCAGAGCUCCGUAAGCCAUGUGAAUGGAUGUUGUGCCCGCUGCUUCCUUUAAAUGCAUAACCUUGAAUCCAAGCAUCCCUGCACGUAGGGGACCUUCUUGGCAAGCUGUGGAACUGAUCUCCAAAGCUCAACACAGUCGAUAUCCCAUGACAAAGAUGUGCCUCACUGUAAAGCCCAGUGUAAACUAUGAACGUCAACAAAGGGGCCAGAGGAGAGACAGAAAUAUGUCUGCCCCUGCAAGGUUUCCACAUACGGAGAAAGCAGAAAGUAACAAUCUGCAUUUCAGCUGCUUUUCUAAAUGAAUGUAUUCAACCAUGUGGCGGGCCGGUAGCUUUCUCUUCCUGUGUGAGGCUAUGCCAAACUCGAGCGAGGAAGCCCAGGGUCUUUUAAAAGAAGGUGAGAAAAACUCAAUGGCAAGUGUAGAAUUUUAGAAAAGAGCCAAAGCCUCUGUCCACCCUCAGAAGAGCAGAACGACAGAGCUCUGGCAGCCACUGCAGCCACCACCGAUUUAUUUACGAGUUCCUGGAGUCGAUCCAGUGUAAUUAUGGGCCUGAACUCCAGAUCAGAUUCACUUGACAUUUGAGAAAGUCUGUGGAAAAACAGUAAUAAUAAACUGAUAAUAACCAUCCGUCUCGUAAGCAAUGAGAAAUAAAGGGAAGAGAAAGGGCAGGUGGGGAGAGGGGAAGGCAGCAUAAUCCCCAAAAGAUCUCCUGUUUGUCAGGAGAUACUCUCAGUGUACAACCCUGUGUAUUUUCUAGAAAGAGCUGCAGAGAAUUUUGGAGUAAGUCCUGAAUCAUGUCAAUGCUUUUGCUAUUACUGCACUGGAAAAAAUGAAGAUGGUGGGUGCAGAGGAAGCUGGGAUAAGUUGGGACGGCAGUUUCUCUUGGUGGAGCAGAUAGUUUGUGGCCCACAUGGCAUUUAUCCGAGCGUGCUCAUCACCUAAAUUACGUUACCAUGAAACCGUUGGCUUUGGAAAAAGAUGUUUGAAGAAACUAUGCUUCGGCGUUUGAUUUAUUUUCAAAUUCAUGCACUGAGUAGAAAUAGGCUUUGUUUGUAUUGUACUUUAUUGCAAGUCUCUCAUUCUGCCAGUUCAUAUCAUCGGUAUAACACGGAUGAGUAUUAGGGUUAAAAAUAUUUGUAUUUAAAACAUCUGCAGUCUUAUAUCAGGAUUUAUAUCCCAUUGUUUGAUCCUUCCCAUCUGAAUCACCCCGUAUUGUUUCCUAUUGAAUUGCUGGGAGAUGGCCUCACAAAGCAAACUCUCUGGGAGGUUUCCAGAAAAAAAAUAUUUUUCAAGUAAGAUAAGUUGAUUAAUUCUGCUGAAUGGAAAAGGCUUCUUCUAUGACAAGAAAGAGGCCUGACAUUUAGUUUACAGUUGUCUCAAGUAUUUUAUUUCAGGUGAUGGAAUUGAAUUGCAAGUUAUGAGUGAAUGUUUAAUGAAGCAAGAAGAGUUACGUUUGUGCUACAUCCAAACAGCAUUUGGUCUUGAGGAGGAGACUUAACAGUCUGGAGAUCUGGUGUAAGCUCAUGAAAUUCUGCAAGGCUUUGUUGUAGAUGGUCGGCUGUGUUUGCAUCCAAACCACUGAACUCGGCGGAAUGUUGGAGCACAGCACUAUUGGAGGCACACUGAAUAAAGCUUUCAACUACUGACAGCAUCUGAAGAACAUCAGGAAAAUGCUGAAAGCCUAGGUUUUCAAAUUUCAGAAAUCUGUGGCCUAUGUGGCUCCAUAGGCAGCUCUGGGCACUACUCAGAGAUCCAGUAAUAUUCAAAGAUUCCAGUGAUAUUCCAGCAUGAAGCCGUGCCUUGGUGUCUUCAGCUGGCGCUAGAACUGCCUAGCAAGUAAUAUAAUAGCUGGAGGGAAAAAAAAAUGGUGUAAUGCAGCAUGGCAACAAAUCUCUCUUCACUAAUACGUUCCGAAGAAUGGCUGCUGAAGCUGGGGAUGACCAAGGGAGCACCGAGUGCCUGGGAGAAUCUCUGCAGAGUAGUUGCAUUGCUGUGAACUCCACCAUGCUGCUGGAAUAGAAAGGAAGAGCCAGAUCAGAAGCAGUCACACAGGAGAAGGUUUCUGAAAGCCCAGUGGGCUUUAUGUCAUGAGAAGGUCACGAGCAGUGAGCUGUCAAACUGUGCAUUGAGGCCUUACUUCUGCUGUAAAGUUAUGGCUGUAUUACUGUACCAGGUAGUGGAAAAUCAGGCUCAACAGUUAUUCUUCAUUAAAUGUAAAAUGUUUGCAUUUUAGCCAAUUAAAAUAUCUCAGUGUGUUCAAAUAAUCUGUAAAUCCAUGAUUCUGGAACCUGCCCAGAACUAAUUUAAAAAGCCAGUACCUGUAACAAAGACGUCACAAGUCAAAGAAUAUUAAAAGUGCCUUACUGUUCUAUAAAAUGAACACAGUUGGGUGAGAUUGCUCAGUCAGCAGGGUUGGUCAUGCUUGAGCAGGCUUAGCUCACUUUAAGUGCACCCUCUUACCUUAGGGUUGGGUCUUCUACCUGUGCUUCUCUGGUUCUCCACUGUAUUCCUAGUGCUGGGCAGGCACUUUGUAAAUAAAUAUUUUCCAAUUUGAAAAUGCCAGUUCAACAGUGGGAACUGGUAUCAAGUUGUGUGUUUCAAAUUGGAAGCAUUCAUUCUUAGUAAAAGAGAAUUUGUUCAAAGCUCAUUGCAAAGCUUUUGGAAUUGAAUGCUUCUUAUUUACAAUGCCUCUUUCAGAAAAGCUCUUUUAAAAAAUAAAAACAUUUUAAUAAAAUGGUAUAUUUCUAUUGACAGGGCAUUAGGGGAAUGUUUUAUUACACGGGAAUUUACAAAUUCUCUGGUCUUUUUUCCUCUUCAAACUUGGACAUAUUUCAAAAUGUCAGAAUUUCCUGUGGAACAGAAUUUUCAGUUCUGACAUACCCUUGUCUGUUGAGCCCUUAGAAUGAAGAACAGUCAUUAACAUUGGUAAUCAGCCAACAAACCCAAACUUGCAGGAGAGACAAAAAAGGUUAAGAGAGAGAGAGAGAGUAGAAAUACCUUAUGCAGACUUUUGUACUCAGCAUGUCCUCAGUAACUCAAGCAUACACACAAUUGUCUCUCUAACUGAACUUAGGUAUGGGAGCUUUCUAGCCCUAAACCUCUGACAUUGUUGUAUAAAGGAGGCAUCAGUGGUAUGGUACAACCCAUUCUUCAAAUCAUUUUUUUCAGCAAGCUGAAAAAUAAGGAAUAAGAUGAUAGGCUUUGUUUAAAUCUGUAGCAAAAAUAAUCACUCAUAAAGUCAUGGAAUGUGGAUGCAAGCAUUUGGGGCCUUUUAAAGCUGCCUUGCUUUGCUCAGCUGUACUACUUCAACUACUCAUUGUUGGCGUACUUGAAUCUUCAUCUACAAACUUGGAAAUCUCAAUUCCCCAUCUGAGUUAAAAGUCUAUAAUUUAUGUCCACAAAGUCUUCUGUUUUUUUUUUCAAGGAAAUUUAUCAAGUGGUUUCUCUGUCUCAAAUCCCCUUUCUGAAGAUUAAAAGAGGGAAUAUCUAAAGAAGAUAUAAUAUCCGGUGGCAUUCAGCUACUCAAUAAGAUUGAUUCUGCCUAAGAAGACGAUGGAUAAUUCACACUAUCGGACCAAUUUUCUUUUAAUUCCUAGAAAUGCUUCCAUCAGAUCAUAUACACCAAUGUAGACAAAGAGAGAGAGAUGUGGAGAGAUUUGUAGACAUCAGUAAAUACAGCCAGUUAACUUUUGACGAACUGAGGACCAGAGAAAGAAUAGCUAAUGAUUUGGAAGGAGGUUCUGUGGUACUAUUGCUUUUAAAAGAAAUAAUUUAAAAAAGGAACCAAAAAAUGUUCAGGGCUUUGUUUAUUACAAGAAUGUAUAAAUCUGGGUGCACAAAGAACAAAUAUGCUAUCUACAUAAAACACUUCAGUUUCCUGGCUCCUCCUACUUGGAUUUACUGGAUUAUAGCCAAGGAGUCGUAACUGCCAGAUUUUUCUCUAACAGAAAACCCAUCUGAGCGGAAUUUAGUAUUGGCAGAGGAUGUUUGGAGACAUGUGUGAAAAAUUAGGAACCCUUUAAGGGAAGAAGUCACCCAAUUAAAAACGUGCAGAAAAUAAUCCAUCAUACAUUCCCAUCAAAUCCCUUUUGCUUUCAAGUACCAAAAUAAUGACUGGAUGAGACCCGAGUUGAGUCUAGAGCUGGCUGAACUGCUUAUUGUGGAUUGAACAUUGUUUUUGAAGGGAGAAAAUUCUGAAAUGAGCUUUUUAAUGUUUUUAGUCUUGAUUUUAAGUUCUUUCCCUGUGGAAUAUUUUUGCAUUAAUAAUAUUCAGUGUUUUGGCUGUUUGAAUGAGCUUUCUUCAAGCGUUUUAGUGUAUUUGUACGUGCCAUGUGUUUGUACUUUCAAGUAGUGUUUUUCCUGUCUGGAUGACUCUUAAAUUUUAAAUAGGAUCACAAAUCAAUGAAUGAAAACAUCAAACUGUCACAUAUUCAGUUUCAAGAGGAUAAUCACUUUCUUAAAACGUAUGAAACAUUUGUAAUCACAGGCAUUUGGACGAAGCGCUCAGUGAUUUUCUAAAAAGCAGCACAAUAAUAAUACUAAUUAACAGAUCACAUUCUGCAGCUUAUGAGCAACCAUAUUUGCUACUUAAGAGGCUUUUAGUUUUGCUUUGUAAAUACUGACUCAACUCUACCAUAAUGCGUGUGGUACAGGACCAGUAGAAUGUAAAACAGGGAGUUAGUUUUUCUGUUGUGCUGAGAAAACCAAAAAGCUGCAAAGGAAAGAAAGCUCAGUGUUCUUCUUCUUCUUUUUUUUUUUUUCUUCACCCCAAAAUAGAGCUAAGUGUUGGAUUUCACAAUUUUGUAAUUAUUAAUCAAAGCACAUUCUUCUUCAAAGUAAUAGCCCCAUUUUUAUAGAAAAAGUCAAAAUAAUUUCCUUAUUUCCAUAGUUAAAUAUUUACUUUCCAACAUUAUGAAACCUUUGAGUGGCAUUCAUUUCAUCAGCUAUAAGAAUCACAGUUUCAAAUGCAUACCCUUGAACAAAAUAAAUUGACCUCCAGACAUGCCUGUUUCUCCACAUUGGCUAAAACUUUGGGGUUAGACAAAAUGCUUAACUUAGUCUUGGCUACAGAUAAGUAUUUUCCCAAAAGAAACUCUCCCCAAGCCUGUCUUUUUUGGAGUAGGUUUGAAAUUGCUUUACAUAUUGAACUCUUAAGUAUGUGAUUGCUUGUCAGCUCAAACUUGAGUUACUCCGCAUAUUUGGUUCGGCUUCACAUCUGAAGAAUGCCCCAGAGAGAGAAAUGAUCAUAUAGCCUUUACUUCUCUACCGAAUUUAAGUUCCAUUAUUUUUUCCCAUUUUAUCUCUUUUAUCAUAGCUGCAGGGUAUGUUACAGAGUUAUCCUUUACUCUGCUAAUCAAGAAGAAUGUGUCUAUUAUUCUCUACAUUUAUUUCAUAGAAGAGAUCACUGUUCCUGGGCAUAUGCAAGCAAACUCUUCACAUCACCAGACAUCAUUGGAAGUCUGAACAGCACACUGAAUUUCCAGCUUUGUGGCUUCUAUGAUUGAUUAAAAAGACACUCACAACCUGUGAAGAUUAAAUAACUUUAAAAUGAAUAUGAAAUACAUUUUGUAUCCUUAUAUUGAUGAAACUACUUCUGGAAAUAAAGAGAUUUAAUUUAGUACUUUUUGUUUCUUGUGCAAAUUGUGGUAUCCUUAUCAAUGUAUGUCUUAUUAGACAACUAGUUACAACAUUUUUUCAUAGAAUCAAUGCAAAAUUCAAGGAAUAUCAUAAGAAAGGGAAGUCUAGUCUUCUGCUCAAAACAGGACUAGCUUCAAUAUUAGGUCAGGUUGCUCUGGGUUUUGUCUAGUUGAGUUAUGAGUACUUGCCAGAAUGGUCUCCACAAGUCCUUUGGACAACUUGUUUUGAUGUUUGGCCACCUUCAUUGUGAGGAUUUUUUCCUAAUCAGAAUUUCCUUUUUGUGAUUCAUCUCUGUUGCCUCUUUUGCUAUUGACUUCCCAGAAAGUGUCUUCAUUUUCCUUGUAACUAUCCAGCAGGUAGUCACGACAGCAGUUAGAUGCCCCUUUUAGCCUUCUCUUCUGCAGACCAAGUUCUCUCAGCCUCUGUAAAUCAUGCACACCAGACCUGGCCAUUUUAGUGAUGCUCUGCUAAUGUAUAAUUUUCCCAUUUUCUGCAUUUUCUUAGGAUUUCUACCUUAAAAAAUCCCAAGCCCUUGAAGUUAAAGCAAAUCUUUAUUUGUAUAAUUGCUGAUAAAUUUGCUGUAACUUGAUCAUCCCAAAAGAGAACUGCUUGAAAAGUAUAACCAGCCUUUCUAGUCAUCUGGUCUGUAGAAGGGUGGAUUACUCUGUCAAGGCAGCCGAAUUUAACAGGGAAAAGAACCAGAUUUAGCAACCAUAUCAAAAGCAGACAUUGUCUCAAGAGACAUAAGACUCAUACUCCAUCCAGAUACGAGCCAAGGCGAGUAGCACAAACAAGUUCCUAACUCCCUAUUUAAAGGGGGAUGGAAAGUGUAUUUCUUAUCUAAAACUGUUUAAACUCCAAAAUUAGUAAUGAUUAUGCAUAGGGUUAAAAAUUACACAUAUAUUUAUGGAGCCGUGCUGUAGAAGAGCAAUGACAGCGUGAUCAGAACUAAUGCACUGAGACCCUUCUCAGCAUAAAAUAUUAAGAGUUAACAUAAAGUACAGAAACACAGAAUCACAGGAUAGCUUGUGUUGGAAGGGACCUUAUAGGUCAUUUGGUUCCAACUCCUGCCAUGGGCAGGGCUGCCACCCACCAGAUCAGGUUGCACAGUGCCCCAUCCAGCUUGACCUUGAAUGUCUCCAGGGACGGAGCAUGACAAAGGGGCACGAAAAUUAUCACACGUGUUAGUAGAGGGCCUCUAAGAUGAUCAAGAAUCUGGACAGCAUGACUGGAAUUGAAAUGGCAGUUCUUCCUUGACUUUAGUAACACCACUGUAGACUGGCAGAUUGCUCCUCCAUUAACUUCACAUUCAUAGAACAUCCUCUGAGCCUAGACCUACUUUCAUGUUCAUGGGAUCUGUUUUAAAUACCAUAGGGGAAACUGGACCUGUACUCCUAGCCCCUGCGCGUGGAAGCCCCAGAGUUAGCAUCAAAUGCAGAAUGAAGCCUGUUAGGAACUGAAGUGAAGAGUCAGCUGGGAAGGGACAUGUGUGCCAUCCUGAAAGCAGGCUGAGCGCCUGCUGCUGCCGCUGGCCCUUCUGCAAGUAGGUCAGCGGCCUAUUUGUGGUGUCCGUGCGGCUGCAGGCUGCCAGCAGGGAGUGAGUCAGCUGGGCCACAGGAACCCUGCACAAGGCCGCGGCCGUGGGGAGCCUCUGCUGUUUCCCUUCCCAAAGCACUUCGCCCCCUCCCUGCAGUGCGGAGAAAUUGAAUCCCACUUUCAGGAGAGUCAAAGGAUACGUGCUCGUUCUUGCGGGACAGCUGGGGGCUGGCAGUCUCGGCUGUCUGAUGGCUGCUGUUUUGCUUCUGGGAGUGAGAGCUGAAAGACUUCCCCUGACCCCAAAAGCUCCAGCCAUAGUCUGAGUCUGAGAUGGUGCCAAUGCCCUUCCUGUAGCAAGGCUGAUAUAUUUUUAUCUCAUCUUUGUAAGCAACACCACCAACUGCAACACCAUCUGCAGGGGCGAAGAGAACUUCUGCCAGGUAUGGGGUUGUUUUUAUAGGUAGCAGGAUUUGACUUGCUUGUUGAAGGAACUUGGGCCCAUUUGUCGUGUCAUGGUGAUGUGGUUUAACCAGACACGUGGACCUCCUGUCCAUUGGGUGACCACUGGGAAAGUAUCCCUUCAUUCCUUUCAGACCAAGCACAACUGCUGGAGUGAUGGACACAAGGAGAAAAUCAGCAGCCUAUUAACCAACCUGGCUUCUGAAUCACUAAUUCUGUCUGCUGUGCCUCAGCUGUGUAAUUCUCUCCUGCACAGCAAAACAGAAUUUGUGAUCUCUACAUGUUUUUCCACGACUUCUGGACCUAUGCCUAGAAGACAAAAUCAGUGCAUAAUAUAAACGAUUAAGAUAGGCAGUAUUAUAAAUUAAUAUAUUAUAGCAAUUAAAAUAAUAUUUAUUACUAUAUAUUAGAAAUUAAUAUAGAGGCAAAUGUAUGCAGCUAGCUAGGCUGCUAGUGUCCAGAAAUUCCUCCAAUGUGCACUGUGCAAAGGCAGACCUUUUCUCUUGCUUUGGUGCAUGUUCAGUAAGCUUAGUUAUGAUAUCUACGUUUCAAGGUAUGUAUUGUGCUAUUAAAGUGCACAUGUGCAAAAUGUCCAUUAUAUCCCAAAUAUUUCAGAUUUACGUGACCCACAGAGACAAAGCAGCUGUGUCCCCAGUGACUAUUUAUUUGUAAAAGAGCCUCAAGAUUUUUCCCAUGUGAUUCUGCUCGUUGCUUGCUGUUGAGCUAGUAACAUUUCCCAUCUUUCCUUCCCUCCAUAGUCCUGACACUUUGCCUGUUUUGUUUUAAAAAGGAGUUACUGUAGAAGUUUCCAAAGGAUAAUUAUCUGGGGAAAUACUUGUGUUCUCUGGAAGUCAGCAUCAUGAAAUACCUGCGGAUUUUCUUCAAAGAGGACGAAAGUUUAAAUACAGGAACACUGGCACAUUAGCUCAUUUCUAUUUUUUAUCUGCCUAUUUUAGAUUUGUAGCUACAGGCAAACCCUAACGUAGGGUAAACUUUGGCUUAAGG
ensembl:lncRNA